UGGCACCCCAACGUGGGGCCCAAGAAUGGGGGAUCCAGUGAGGGACUCUGUUUGAGAGGCCGGCACAAAAACAGGAUGGAGAAAAUUCUGAGAAUACAGGAAAAGACUAUGCAGGAGCCUGGUGCAUUUUCUGAACCUCGGUAAGUGAACAGUGAUUAUGGGACAAGAAGUGAGCCAGCAUGAGAUUUUUGUUGAAAGUCUAGGAAAGGCUUUAAAGGUGCCAGGAGUAAAGGUUAAAAUCAAGCAAUUGCGUCAAUAUUUUGAUUUACAAAAGAAGCUUGUCCUU
rfam:Cavia porcellus supercont2_141 genomic scaffold, whole genome shotgun sequence.